GACGAACGCUGGCGGCGUGCCUAAUACAUGCAAGUCGAACGAGAGCGCCCGGUGCUUGCACUGGUCAAUCUAGUGGCGAACGGGUGAGUAACACGUGGGUAACCUGCCCAUCAGAGGGGGAUAACAUCCGGAAACGGAUGCUAAAACCGCAUAGGUCUUCGAACCGCAUGGUUUGAAGAGGAAAAGAGGCGCACGCUUCUGCUGAUGGAUGGACCCGCGGUGCAUUAGCUAGUUGGUGAGGUAACGGCUCACCAAGGCCGUGAUGCAUAGCCGACCUGAGGGGGUGAUCGGCCACAUUGGGACUGAGACACGGCCCAAACUCCUACGGGAGGCGGCAGUAGGGAAUCUUCCGCAAUGGACGCAAGUCUGACGGAGCAACGCCGCGUGAGUGAAGAAGGUUUUCGGAUCGUAAAACUCUGUUGUUAGAGAAGAACAAGUGCUAGAGUAACUGUUAGCGCCUUGACGGUAUCUAACCAGAAAGCCACGGCUAACUACGUG
rnacentral:rRNA from 1 species